rnacentral:lncRNA from 1 species
GUCUUUCUGUGGUACCUCCCCAGAAAGUCCUGAGCUUACGUCUAAAAACAAAGCUUCAGGCUAUCCCAGCUCUUCCCAGCUCGCUGUGUGAAAAGCUAACAUGGCCUUGAGCGCGGGCUAGACUUGGCUGGGAAACCUCCUUCUCCUGUCUGGGGUGUGAUUCUAGCCAGCUCAGGAGCCCAGGUGAUCCCCCAUGGUUGGGGACCAAGAAGACGUAGUUUGUGAAUCCAGGUUAAGCAGUCACUGGCUGUACCCACGAAAACUCCAGAAAGUGCCGCCAUCCUUGAGAAAAAUCUGCCUUCAGACUGACCGAGGUGCUGAUCGAUCCUUUCCGCAAAGGAGCUCCGGGAAGUGGGAAACUUUUGCCAGAGGACAGACUGCAGAAGGAUCCAAGAGUCACCUGUGCUCAGGUUUCUGCUGGAAUGAACUUACUCGGUAAGUAUUCCCCAAACAAAAGGCACGAUACUCACCUUUUGGCUUUAUCAGGUGUUAACAUUUGGCUGCAAAUAGGAUAAACCACUUGCACCACCCAGGUUCCUGGCUUCCUCAAUCGGAGGGGUUCUUGGGGCGGCAGGUGCUGUGGAUGGCUCUUUCCGCAUGUGCCCGGGCUGCCAAAGGACAGACAGGUGAUGCAAGGGCGAUAGAAGGUGCAGCACAUUAGCUCCGUGGUGCAUGCCGGAGGUGAGCAGUUUCAACAAAGCCAAGGGAGAAAAUCUACCUGACGGUGGUACGCCCUCAUUAGAGGGAUCAGACCUCUAAGGGGAAGUUCGUGGCUGUGGGGGCUUUGGAAGCCCCUCUCAACGAGAAACUUCUGUAAGGAUUCUGACCCCAUCCUUCACAACUUCUCAAGCAGCUGAGCUCAUCAGACUGGCUGAGGCUGAGGACGCUCUUUGCAGGAACAUUCUCUGGAAGAAGACUCAGGCAGCAUGGUGUGAGAACCUGUUCCGGUCUGAUGUGUGGCCCCUGUUCUGAUGCUUGAUGACACUUCUCAACUCCUGAAGAAUAAGGGGUGCACCUUCCCCCCCCCUUUUUGUAAAUCACAAAUCAACAGGACGUAAUAGUUCCAAUGCCACUUCUCUUUCUUUCCAAAACUCCAGCUUCUGUCCCUUCCAGAGUUCAGUCCUAAAAGAGCACUCAGAAGAAGUAUUCAGAAAAUGUGGGUUUAGCACAGAACAAAAGUAGCCCAACUCCACCCCUGGGGAGUCAUUAAAAGCAGUAAGCCGACAGCUAAUCUACAACACUGAACAGUAACAAGUACCUGUUCUGUAAGUAAUCCAGGGAGCCUGAGUUGAUGUGUGUGAUUUGGGGCAAUCCCGAGUGCUUUCAUUCGGGGAGAAGUUCAUGCUUGUGUCAAGAUGAAACCUCACGCCCUCGGAAAAUGUAAAGAAUGCUGGCGUGUCUUCGUUAGUCUUCUGUAGUUUUCACACCAAGUAAAGACUGUAGAAUUUACAUGUAUUGUUAUUUAUUCUAACUGAAAGCAAACCGGCGCCCUAUUUGAUAGAUAUUACGCCUGGAGUCGUUUUAAAAUACUGGGUCGUGUCUGGAAAUGGAUACAAGUUCCUACAUGAUCACACUUUAAAAAAUCACUUAACUGUUUGCUUGGGUUUUCACUAGUGGGGGGAAAGAGAAAACAUGAUUUAAAAAUGUAAUCAUUACAGACCAUGUGCUUGACGGUGGGGAGGUAUGGAAACCAUACUCCCAGCCAGUUACACUUUAAACAAAAUGUAAAUACACAUACUUUAAGACUCAGAAUCCAGACAAGCAUUUACAUAGCAAUGCACCAGGAAUUUAACAUAUGUUAAAAUAGAGAAAACCCCAGGCCCCAAAUGGUGUCACUUAGACCAAGUUCCCAAACCCCAGGGGCUUAAAACCCCUUCUGACCGCAGUUUCCAUCUUGCCCAAGAAACGUGGCCUCAACCCGUCAGUCAGGAAAAAUUUUCUUUCCAUCAGUGGCAACCGGGGGCACUGGGUCCUCUCCGUCUCCCAAAGAAAGAUCAGGGAAUCUGUGUGAGAAGACGCCUUGCUUUCCUUCCUAGCAAACUGCCUGGUCUGGAAUAAUCGUUCCUCACCAUCUGUCUCUGAAAACCUUCCAUUUUCUACCAUUUCUCAGGACUUCCCUCCACUUGCUAGGUGGGGUGCUGCCUGAUUCAGGAAUGGCUUGGUAAAGCCAAUUAGGUCUUCAAAUGUACCUGGUUGAAUUUCAUUAUUUAGCACAUAUGAUGAGUGAUAUGUAUUUUCUUUCCUGAAGUGGGGUCCCAUUUCCUCCCUUCCUUCCUUCUUUUCCUUCCUUUCUUCCUUCCUUCCUCCUUUCUUCCUUUCUUUUCUCCUCCUGCCCUCCCCUCCCCUUUUCUUUCUCUUGUCUCUUUUUGUCACACAAAAAGACGUCAUCUCACAAAAAUGAUCUCUUCUUUUCAAACUAGGAUUUUGGGGGGGGGGGGGGGGGGGGGGGGGGGGGGGAGGGGGAGGGGAGAGUGGUUACCUUACUUGCUUCUUUCUAUCCCCAGGGAACUGUAGGUCUGUUCCCACUCCCUCUUUGUGGGUGUAGUUCGAGCAAACAGAUUCCUUUCCCCCUCAAACUAAGUGCCUUCUAAUUUUUACGAAUUAUAGGAACUUAAGUAAAACUUUAGUAGAUUCGCUCAUAUAAAUAAAUAUAAUAAAAUUCACAUGCCAGAUAAAUCCAUUUGUGUUCUGGAGGGGCUCAGACUUACACAGCAGGUAAGGAGCCUCGAGGCCACACCACCGCAUCUGGCCGGCCUGCCUCUUGCAGACAGACCCACAAGCCAUGUGUCCCCCAGUGCCCUUGCAAGCCGGCUGUCUGCUGGGAGGUGCAUUCCACACAGUCCUAGCCUAGGGUAUUGCUCCCUCGGGAAACGAGACAAAACAUCUAACCAAAUUAAAGGAAAAUCCAAACAAUAAGCGAAGGCAUUUCCUACAAUGCUGGUCUCUUUUAACACUGAUCAAAAACUUCUAACAUUAUCAAUCUGUUUCCUCUAUUAACAACAUUGCUUACUAUUUAUUUUGUUUCUUUUUUUAAAGCCUACUAUUGUGUGUGUGUGUGUGUGUGUGUGUGUGUGUCUGUCUGUCUGUGACAGAGAGAGAGAGACUUGGAGUUUUUCUGCUAUAAACACUGCUCGUAACUCACAUUUUUCUCAAUAUGACAUUGCUUUUCUAACUUUAUAGGAUCUUGCACUGUGCCUAAGUUUUAAUUUUUUCUGCAAUCAGUCCUGAAAGCAUAAAAAUAAAAAAAUAAGUUGAUGUCCUAGAAGGUUGCAAAAAUGGCCACAGGUUUUCACUCCUUGUGUCCAUUCCCUUUGCAAUGCAACUUUGCAGCUUCGCCCACCGCCCCCGUCGAGAAAUUGACCUGUUUCCGCACUCAUGACCCGCGCUGGCCAAUGGAAUGCGGUAGAAGUGACCGUGUACGCCAUUUGCUCUCUCUUAAAACCCCACCUCCACCCUGUGAAACGUCCAGGCUGGCCCAGUGCUAGGUGGGAGGCCGUGGCCUCGUUGCCCCCACCCCUGCCAAUAUCCAGCCAACCGGUAAACACACGGGUAAGGUCAUGCCGCUCGGUAAGGCCCAGCCCACCUGCCAGUUGACCUCAGUCUCAUGAGCGAGCCCCGCUGAGAUCAGCCACACCUGGCCCAGAGGGACAGAACGGCCCAGAUGACCUGCAGACACGUGACUAACAGUAAAUGAUUGCAGCUUUGCGGCACUAACUUUGGUCUGGGGCCUCAAAUACCUGAUUCACUUACAUUUUCUUUGAGCGUGUUUUGUUCUUAACUCUAACCCAUAUAAAGCCUACUUUUUUUUUGCAUAGGGUGAGGUAGUUAAGGGGCUUUUAUUUGUUUUAGCUAUAUGUGUGGCCAGUUUUCUCAACACUAUUGAACUUUCUUUCAUCACUGAUUUGAAAUGCCAUGGUUUUCAUUAACUAAAUCCCCACAUGCACAAGGGCUUGCUUCUGGACUGGCUAAUAGGUUCUGAUGUUUUAUUUUCUGUGUCUGAGCCAAUAACACAAUGUUUAAUUCCUUAAUCUGAGAGUAUGACUUGGUAUCUGGAAUGUUCCUGUGAAAUAAUGCAGGGGCCCAAUUAUUAGAAGUAAAGGGAGGGGAUGUUAUCUUAAAUACUUUCGUAUUUCCUCUAGAAUCCACGUAGCUCCUGUGGACAUGGUGGUGACUGCAAAAACAUUUGGUCUUCUGCAUUGCAAAUCUGUGGCGUUUAACAUACUAGGAAUAAAUUUGGGAGCCUGUGGUUUACAGAGAUGAUAUUUAUGGUCCUGAUCUCUUUUUGUCUUCACCACUCUAUCAGGUACAAGGUCAGCAAGCUGAGAAAGGCUAUAUCACCAUGAUGGUGGAGGAAGAAGCAGGGAAAAGAAGGAAAAGCAGCAGCAGCAGAAAAGGAGGAGAAAAAAACUAACAUCUACUGAGUGUUUAACUCUGUUAGUGUCUAUACCAAACACUGUACCUGCCUUGCCUUCUUUACAGCUUUGUGAGGUUAGUGCUAUUUAUAUAUCCAGUUUUCAGAGGAGAAGGUGAGAGUCCCAGAAGUUAUGUAACGAGUUCAAAGCCACACAGUCAAUGAGUCAAAAUUCUGAAUGAAUGUGAAUGCAAGGAAAAAAAAACAAACCUGGAAGAAAAUCCACGUCAUGGUUAGCGGUUGACUGGGAUGCCGUGGGAUUCUGCAGUCACACGGUGGGCGGUUUUCUCUCUCACAGCCUGGCUGGACCAGUAACCAAGGGAGGAGGCGGGGGCAAGACAUGUUCUGCGAUCGGCCUCACGGAGCUGUAUUACCCAGCCUGCCCCGCGCCGGUCUCGCCUGCCCCGUUCUCCCAGGACAUUGCACUCUUGCCUAGGAUCCGGCUUCUGCAUGACUCUCUAGUCCUUACCUUUAUAAGGGGUGGAACCAGAUCAAUGAAAGAAUUUUAUACAGAAAAGAAUUAAUGAGAAAUAGGUGACAAGGACGUUUAGAAGGGACAGGAAAAAUUCAGUUUUGCCCUUUACUUCCUGUUUCCGCUUCUCAGGCCCCCUGUCGCCCAGGUGUGCACACGUGGUGGGUGUUGGCCCUAUUUGGCUGUGUUCGUUAUAUUGCAACGGUAAAAAAAAAAGGUAAAGGUUGGAUUAUGAAUAUCGGGACAGAGGUGAUAACCUUUUUUUUUGGCCCAAAAGAAAAACAGAAUAGGACUUCGGAAAAGAGAAGAAAAUAGGGGGAAAUCAAUAACUUAUAAAAAGAAGAAUAGAAAGGACAAAAAAAAGUGAAAUAAAUUAAAGUCACAAAGAUGGAAAGGAUAACACGGAGUUGCCGGUAGGUCCAUUAAAUAGGAAUGGACUGAAUUCUAGUAAAAGACUCAGACAGGCAUUUUUCAUUUCAUUUCAUUUAUUUUUAAAAAUAUUUUUGAGAGAGGGGUGCCUGGGUGGCUCAGUCGGUUAAGGGUCCGGCUUCGGCUCAGGUCGUGAUCUCGCGGUCCGUGAGUUCGAGCCCCGCGUCAGGCUCUGGGCUGACGGCUCGGAGCCUGGAGCCUGUUUCCGAUUCUGUGUCUCCCUCUCUCUCUGACCCUCCCCCGUUCAUGCUCUAUCUCUCUCUGUCUCAAAAAUAAAUAAACGUUAAAAAAAAUUUUUUUUUUGAGAGAGAGAGUGCAUGCACACAAGCAGGGGAGGGGAAGAGAGGGAAACAGAGGCUCUCUAGCAGGCUCUGUGCUGACAGCAGACUGCCUGAUGCCUAUGAGGGGCUCGAACUCACUCAUGAACGGAGAGAUCAUGACCUGAACGGAAGUCAGCCGAAGUUUAACCAAUGAGCCACCCAGGUGCCCCUAGGCAUUUUUCAUUUUAAAAGACUACACAUAAAGUUAAAUGAAAAAGAGAAAAUCAAGGAAUGCAUAAGUAUAUGUAGCAAAUAUACGACAUUCUUAUUUGCUUUUUACUUGUACCUGACGAGGUGAAAUGAAAGGUUCAAGGUCAAAGACAAAGGUUAGGGUAUUGGGCUGCAACCUAAGGCAGCAAAGGUGAGCAUCUGGACGGAUGGGUGCUCUUCUCUUUCUUUCGUCUCCUCCUUUUUUUCCCUUUCUUUUUAUUUUUUUAAUGACAACAGCUAGUUUUUUGUUGAACAUUCACAUCUCAUAAAAAUAAUUAAGUACUGAGAUGAUCCAGGAAGCCAGCUUGAAGUGAGUCGCUUAAAGGUAAAAACAAUAUUGUUCUGCAGGGUUAAGAUUGUGAUUAGAUUCUUAAUUGGAUUCUGACUACAUCCAGUUAAAUUUAUGCACAGUAAAAUUAAAAAUUAAAAUUGAGAUGUUAGCUACUCUAGGAACAGAAAUAGAGUGUAGAGAAUACUACCUCUUCCAAACAAGUAGAAGGUAACAAAUAAACAAACUAAAAUAAAAGCUCAAGCCAAAAAAAAAAAAAACAAGAAAGGAGAAAAAAAAUGGAUGUACAAAUGUAAGAUUGUAGGAAAAACACAAAUUCAUUCAUUCAACAGUUAUAGUAUCGAGGGCCUACUAGAAACCACAUAUUGUGGGAUACAGCAGUAAACAAAACAUAGGAAAUAUCUGCCUUCAUGAGGCUUCUGUCCUAGUCAGGGGAAACGUAAUGGUUCAGAUAAAUGAACAAAUCAUGCGGCAUGUCUUACGAUGAUAAACACAAGACAAAUAAAUGCAAUGGAUAUGUUAAGGGUGGAAGAAAGCUUGUCAAAAAUGGCCUCACUGAGAAGGUGGUUUUCAAAAAAAAAUAUGAGGGAGGUAAAGAAUUGAACCAUGUGGAUAUGAGGGGAAGAGCAUUUCAGACAAGGGAAGUGCAAAUAUCCUGGGGCUAGCCUGAGCUUGAGGAGGCUACACAGAACAGAGGGGAGGGUAGGAGGAGGUGAGAUCAGAGGUGAGGCAGGAUCAGAUCAUUGUAGGACCUUUCACUUUAAGUGAAAUGGGUAGUCUUCAGAGGAUUUUUUGAGAAGAGGGAGAGGAUCUAUCUUUUUUUUUUUUCUUUUUAGGAGGCUCAUUCUAGAUGCUGCGACGCGAACAGACCACAGGAAGAAACAGCAGACGGUGAUUGGGUGGCUCCUGUGUAACCCAGGUGAGGGACCGUGCAAGUCAGAGAGGUGAGGUGGUGGGAAGGGCAGGGGAGUCUGGAGAGAUCGCAAAGAGGUUAUCCACAGGAUUUGCCGACAGAUUACAAGUGCGGUGCGCAAGAGAUGAGUCGGGGUGGUGUUUCUUAGGCACUUGGAACCGUGCAAGUAAAUUAAGUUUAUAAUUGCAAUUAACCCUAAAUCUGAGAUAUAUACCAUUAUCAUCCCCAAGUGAGCUGGAGGAGCCAGAGUUCCUGGCAGGUCGUUGGCCAGUGCAUCACCCUGUGGUGCGCUCUCUCUCUUCCUUCCUUUCAGAGAAACCUCCCAGGUUGCCUGUUCCCAAGGCUUUGACCAAACCCAGAUGCCCUGGCCCAGAGUGAGUGUGUGUGUUUGGCAAAACUGCCCUG